rnacentral:rRNA from 1 species
GACGAACGCUGGCGGCGUGCUUAACACAUGCAAGUCGAACGGAAAGGCCCUGCUUUUGUGGGGUGCUCGAGUGGCGAACGGGUGAGUAACACGUGAGUAACCUGCCCUUGACUUUGGGAUAACUUCAGGAAACUGGGGCUAAUACCGGAUAGGAGCUCCUGCUGCAUGGUGGGGGUUGGAAAGUUUCGGCGGUUGGGGAUGGACUCGCGGCUUAUCAGCUUGUUGGUGGGGGAGUGGCUUACCAAGGCUUUGACGGGUAGCCGGCCUGAGAGGGUGACCGGCAACAUUGGGACUGAGAUACGGCCCAGACUCCUACGGGAGGCAGCAGUGGGGAAUAUUGCACAAUGGGCGGAAGCCUGAUGCAGCAACGCCGCGUGCGGGAUGACGGCCUUCGGGUUGUAAACCGCUUUCGCCUGUGACGAAGCGUGAGUGACGGUAAUGGGUAAAGAAGCACCGGCUAACUACGUG